UAAGUGGGCUAGAUUGUGGGGAAAACUCCACAGUUAAGCGCGCUUGAGCCAGAGGCGUCUUGGGAUGGGUGACCACCUGGGAAGUCCUGGUUACCGAGUGCA
rnacentral:rRNA from 1 species